AUUGAACGCUGGCGGCAGGCUUAACACAUGCAAGUCGAGCGGGGUGAUGGCGCUUGCACUAUCACUUAGCGGCGGACGGGUGAGUAAUGCUUAGGAAUCUGCCUAUUAGUGGGGGACAACAUCUCGAAAGGGAUGCUAAUACCGCAUACGUCCUACGGGAGAAAGCAGGGGAUCACUUGUGACCUUGCGCUAAUAGAUGCACCUAAGUCGGAUUAGCUAGUUGGUGGGGUAAAGGCCUACCAAGGCGACGAUCUGUAGCGGGUCUGAGAGGAUGAUCCGCCACACUGGGACUGAGACACGGCCCAGACUCCUACGGGAGGCAGCAGUGGGGAAUAUUGGACAAUGGGGGGAACCCUGAUCCAGCCAUGCCGCGUGUGUGAAGAAGGCCUUAUGGUUGUAAAGCACUUUAAGCGAGGAGGAGGCUCUUUUGGUUAAUACCCAAGAUGAGUGGACGUUACUCGCAGAAUAAGCACCGGCUAACUCUGUGCCAGCCGCCGCGGUAA
rnacentral:rRNA from 1 species